AUGCUCACUUCAGCACAAAUAUUAAAGUUGGAGCAAUACAGAGAUUAGCAUGACCCCUGAGCAAGGAUGACAUGCAAAUUCAUGAAAUACAAAAGACUAGG
rnacentral:snRNA from 1 species